rnacentral:rRNA from 1 species
AUUGAACGCUGGCGGCAUGCCUAACACAUGCAAGUCGAACGGCAGCACGGUGUGUAGCAAUACACAUGGGUGGCGAGUGGCGGACGGGUGAGUAUAAAGUAGGAAUCUGCCUUAUAGACGGGAGUAACUUGGGGAAACUCGAGCUAAUACCGGAUAAGCACUACGGUGGAAAGUAUGGGACCGCAAGGCCAUACGCUAUAAGAUGAGCCUACGUCGGAUUAGUUAGUUGGUUAGGUAAAGGCUGACCAAGACGAAGAUCCGUAGCUGGUCUGAGAGGAUGGUCAGCCACACUGGGACUGAGACACGGCCCCAGACUCCUACGGGAGGCAGCAGUGGGGAAUAUUGGACAAUGGGCAACCGUGCAUCCAGCGAUGCCGCGUGUGCGAAGAAGGCCCUGCGGGGUUGUAAAAGCACUUUUAGUUGGGGAAGAAUGAGCGUAAUUCGAAUAGAGUUACGCAGUGACGUUACCCAAAGAAUAAGCACCGGCUAACUCUGUGCCAGCAGCCGCGGUAAUACAGAGGGUGCGAGCGUUAAUCGGAAUUACUGGGCGUAAAGGGCGCGUAGGCGGUUGUGUAAGUUAGAUGUGAAAUCCCGGCGUUAACCUGGGAAUGGCAUUUAAUACUGUAUGACUAGAGUAGAGUAGAGGGAAGUGGAAUUUCCGGUGUAGCGGUGAAUGCGUAGAUAUCGGAAAGAACACCAGUGGCGAAGGCGGCUUCCUGGACUCAUACUGACGUUGAGGCGCGAAAGCGU